AACCCUAGUCAAUAGACCUACGGCGUAAAACGUGUUUAAGGAUUACUAUCAUAAAGUCAAACCUUAGCUACGCUGUAAAAAGCUAUAGCUAUUGUAAGCCCUAACGCGAAAGUAACUUUAGAUCACCUGAAUACACGACAGCUAAGACCCAAACUGGGAUUAGAUACCCCACUAUGCUUAGCCCUAAACCCAAAGAGCCUUUCCAACAAGACUCUUCGCCAGAGUACUACUAGCCAAAGCUUAAAACUCAAGGGACUUGGCGGUGCUUCAUAUCCCUCUAGAGGAGCCUGUUCUAUAAUCGAUAAACCCCGAUAAACCUCACCAGCCCUUGCCAAAU
rnacentral:rRNA from 1 species